AGAACCAACGGCUCAUGUCAUGUUAGGCUUCAUGAACUGAAGUUGACGGCAGUUUGUAGUGAGACUGAAACGAGAAACGAACUAAUAGAAAUAAGAAUGAUGGAAAGUUUUAGCCAGUGAAUGUGUCAGAUACAGGUACAGACAGGAAGUUUACUGUUUCCUCUCAGCUUACAGGAGCACAGUCCUUCAUCCGCACUGACUCCUCCAGGACACUGCUAAUUUUCCUUUGCUUCUCUUUCUUUUUUUAAUAGAAACUGAGUGCUAAAUAUUGCCUCUCGCCCAUCCUUUACAAGCUGAACGUUUUAAAACAAAUUCAAGGGAAGCUCUUGGUGUUCACAGCCGAAUAAAACCGUUUGGUUUCGGUCAGUGGAACGAUCCCCAACCCCUGGUAGUAGCAGUCCGCCUUCCAGUGCAACCUGAAGGACAGUUAAAGCACUGAAGUGGACAUUGUGAGGUUUAUUUUUUUUGUUACUCCAAACCAGCGGCUCCCCCUCAGACGAAACCCCCUCCCUCCUCCCCUCUCUCCCCCCCUCCUCCCCUCUCUCCAUUUUGUGUGCUUUGUGAGAGCAGCUCCGGUCUUCUCGCCGUCCGCCACAUGAGGGAUAUUGGACUAUUAUUUUGAUCGAGCCCGUGGUCGGCUCUCCUGAAUGACUUUGUGUGUCAAGUGAGGCUGCUUCACUCUCCGUCGCUGUGAGCACAUCCUGUUUCCGUCAGCACAGGAAGUGAAGCUACGUGCAAUCAGGAAGCCAUUGAAGUUACACGAGAUGUUGUCUACCUGCAGGCUCUGGAAGAGGAACGCUGUGUUGAGGAGGAAUGCCACUGAAUUGAGAUUUGUCAUGUAGUUAAAGCAUGAAGGUACUCCGCAGAUGUAAAGGCCCUUUGAGCCUCUCAAAACAGCCAUUGUGCAGUUUAUAAAUGACAGUCAAGGCGCAUUUUGGUUCUUUUCAUUGUGAAUUAAAAUGAAAAAAAAAAUCUUUAAUCAUGCCUUACAUUUCCCCCUUAAAGAGCUCCUGGCAGGCAGUGACUUUUCAGUCUGGCCUCAGUCGACACUUGGACCUGGAAAUCCUUCAUUGAGAAUCAGCUGGUCAUAAGAUCCUCUUACGUAAAAAAGCCUCACCACCAUAAACAGGGUUUCUAUUGAAAAAAAUGACAAAUUCUUGCUUCUACUAUUCCUUCUCCUUACACUAGACACCAUCAAGUAAAACUGUUUCUCCAACAGGCUGCUGUGAUUAUGUCAGAGACCUUAAAGGACCAGUGUGUAGGAUUUAGUGGGGUCUAAAGGUAUAGCUGCAGAUCGCAACUCCCUCUCUUUACCCUCCUCUUCCAAGUGUGAAGGAGACAAUAUGGUGGCCGUGAUACGCACAAAAAACACCAACGCCCUUAUGUAGCACUGGGCUACUGUAGAAACAUGGCGAUUCAACAUGGCAGUCUCCACAGAAGGCGAUGUGCAGCACCUGUAGAUAAAACAGCUGAAUAUGAAUAUUAUAUUCCAUUCCUACCAAUAGAUCCUCCUAAAUGUUUCACACUAGACCUUUUAAAAUGAAAGGAUAUCAGUCCCUCCAGGAAGUUACAAUCGCAACAACUUACCCAAAAUUAACCAAUCCCUGUGAAUUCUGUAGGCCCUGGCCUCAAAACAUUGCAACAUGUAUCGCAAUUUGCCGCCAAAUCGGGCAUUUUAGGCUGCAACAAUCCCCCCGAACCUGUGAAAUCCUGCAGGGACUGGGGAAUGGCUGGUGUUACUCUUUUUACGUCCUCAAACUUAUGAAAAGACCAAAACUAACAAUGUAGGUCUGUCUCCAGUGGUGUGCUCAGAUCAUUCACAUAAGUAAAAGCACUAAUACCACACUGUGUAAAUACUCUGUUUAGGUCCUGCAUUCAAAACCUAAAUUCAGUAUAUAUUAUAUAGUAUAUAGUAAGUAUAUAGGCAGAGUAUCAUCAGAAGAAUUUACUUCAAACACCAAUCUUGAAGAUUUUCCUUUGAAUAAAUGUCUCUUAAGUCACUGUCUAUUGCUGAAUGAGGUAACACAAUGGUGACUGGAAAAAAUGAACUGAUGUAAAUAUUGCAAUAUUUAUAUAACUGCAGUAUUACCAACUGGGUAGCUGUGGAUUGUGCAUUGCACUGCUGUAGCUGUUUGUGGUUGAGCUCAUUUAACUACUAUACAUACUGUUGGCUAGUUGAAUCUACAGCAAAGAGUCAUAUUCUUUAAGAUCCUCAUAUGUUUGUAAUGUCACUGUUCUGUGAGAACCACGGAUCUCUAAAAAUCCUUUUUUCAUGAGCUCAGAAACACAGCCCUGUUUUCAGCUUGGUGACAGUGCAUUUCCCAGCUAAUCCAAGAGGGUUUUAAAUUGUUUAUUCAGUUUAAGAAGCAGGAGAGCUGUCAGACCAAUGUAGUGGAGUAAAAAGCACAACAUUUGUCUCUGAGAUGUAGUGGAGUAGAAGUAUAAAGUAGGAUAAAAUUUAAAUACUCGAGUAAACAAGUACAGCACUUAUGUAAAUGCAAUAAUUAAAUCCCACGCUGUCUCACUACUUUCUAACUUCCUCUUGUUGUGGCUCUUAACUUCAAGCUGACAACCACAGCCAGGGUUAUUCAGAGGUUACAAGUGUUGAGAGCUUUAAUCACGUACAUUUUAAAAACCUCACAAAACAAAACAAAAAAACAGGUGCUCGCUGUAGUUUUUAAUCAAACAAAUAGAUUGUAUAUAGUUUACAUUCUGUGUAUGUUUUGGUCUUUUCAUGGGAUUUGAUGACAAUAAGAAAAUUAUAGAAUACCACCACUCAAAAGCGUUUAAGCUCACGCUACAUUUCCCUGACGGCUGUGUGACAAAUGAACAUGUGAUAUAAUUACGUUAUGGAGGAUGCAGUCAGGAUGGGAUAUAUAGCCAAAAUAUUUCUAGGUGUGUUUCACCGGCUUGUUUGGCAGGUAAGUGUUUCCUAUUUCACUGUUUACUGUCUCUUUCACAAAAAAACCUGUGUAUGAUCUCUGCGUUAAAAUCUAAGAAAAUAAAAGUAAUAGUAUGGUGUGUGUAAACUACUUUUUGAGUGCAGUUUGUGUGUUGAAGCAGUUCUGUUGGUUUGCAGCGAGUUUAGGCCAUGUAGUCAUACAGAAGCAGUAUUACCUCAUCACACAACACUCUAAAGAUACAGAGCCAUUGCUAAGUAGCUACUAUAAUAUUACAUGCAACACAGUGAUCUAAGGAGGAGGACAAAAGAUGAACAUUAACCCAUUUGCAUUUCCAGAGGCAGUUUGUCUCCUCCUCCUGCAUUCCCGCCCAAUUCACCCUGUUUCUCAACAGCCUUUGACCUAUCCACCCCUCCCCCAAAACACACACACACACACACACACAAAGGCAGUUGACAGGGUCUUAUGAUGCCAUUGAUUACCGUGCUUAGGAAGUGCGUGAGUACAGAAAAGUCAUUUCCUGAUUUGUCUUCCUCCAAGAGUGAUUUUAAGGUACAGCUAUAACUUAUUUGUUAAUUUACUGAUUAAGAUAAAGACAAAUAUGAUGCACUGUUCAGUAUAUAAAAGAGUUCAGAGGUGUGGAUUUGCAAUGAGCAGUCAAUUAUUUGAUCAGUUGGACUAAACAUUAAUCGGCAGUUAUUUUUCAAGCAAAAAUGCCAAACAUUCAACGGUUCAAGCUUCUUAAAUGUGAGCGUUAGCCAUUUUCAUUGUCUUACGUUAUAUUGCAACGAUGAGUUGAAUAUAUUUGGGUUUUAAAGUUGGGCAAAGCAAGACAUUUUGAGACAUCACCUUGGGCUCACCUUGGGAAAUAGUAAUGGCCAUGUUUCACUGCUUCCUGAUGUGUUACAGAAUAAAGGGACUAGUUGGCAGAUUAAUCAAUUGCCAAUAAUCUGUAUCUGCCACCUAAAAAAAAAGAAGGAAAAAAAGAAAGAUCUUCACUUCAACCAGCUACAAUAUUAAAAUGCUACUUAGACAAACAUUCAUCAGUAAUAAUCCAUUAAUGUAACAGAAGAGUACAACACUUACAGGGACCAUCGUUCUGCAUUACCACUACUGUUACUGUUGAUAUUUUUAGUACAUUUAGCUAAUAAUAUCACAUAUUUUUGGGUCAUUUUCAGUGCAGGACUUCUACUUGUAAUAGAGUUUGUUUAUAUCUCAGCAUGACAACUUUCACGUCUGAGAUGAGAAGUUGUGAGGGAGGAGAGAAACUAUGAAAACUUUCACGAGGAAGUCAUUCAUUUGAGAUUACAGAAUGUGGCCAUGUACGUCAGUCCACCUGUGGUCAGAAACGUACUACCUCCUCACAACCUCCGCACUUUUAAAAACUGACCUCGUCAUUCUCCAUUUGCCCCUAUAGGAAACCUGUUCUCCUGAUACCAGCAUGAAAGAGCAACAGCCCCACAAGCUUCACCUCUAACUUACACUGACAGUCUUCCUCAAAUCUCAAUGGUCUUAAUGGGAUAAAGAGGAUCUGAAUUUGUUCCUCAGUCCCUGAAUUCAACAACACUUCUUAGAGAUCUGGUGCAAGGCAAUGACGAGUAUUUAUUUCAGGCAACUGGUGAAUGAAUGUUCUUGGAAUUUUUGCUGCAUUUUUAAUCAGUUUAAUGAUCAUACUUACAUACUUGUGAGCAUACUUACAAUCAUUGGGGACAUGUAUAAACCGCUUGAAAAAACAAAGGAUAUUUUGUAGGAAAGAAAAAAAGAUGAAAAUAAACUUAAACCAA